UAAUACCGGAUAGAUCAAAGAUACUGGAAUGUUCUCUGGUCCAAAACUCCGGUGCCCAAGGAUGGGUCUGCGGCCUAUCAGGUUGUAGUGGGUGUAACGUACCUACUAGCCUACGACGGGUAAGGGUUGUGAGAGCAAGAUCCCUGAGAUGGAUUCUGAGACAUGAAUCCAGGCCCUACGGGGUGCAGCAGGCGCGAAACCUUUACACUGCGGGAAACCGCGAUAAGGGGACCCCGAGUGCCAGCACCUAGUGUUGGCUGUCCAGCUGUCUAAAUAACAGUUGUUAGCAAGGGCCGGGCAAGACCGGUGCCAGCCGCCGCGGUAACACCGGCGGCCCGAGUGGUAGCCGUUAUUAUUGGGUUUAAAGGACCCGUAGCCGGCCUAUUAAGUCUCUUGGGAAAUCUGGCGGCUCAAUCGUCAGGCGUCC
rnacentral:rRNA from 1 species